rnacentral:rRNA from 1 species
UACGUAGGGUGCGAGCGUUGUCCGGAAUUAUUGGGCGUAAAGGGCUCGUAGGCGGUUUGUCGCGUCGGGAGUGAAAACACUGGGCUUAACUCAGUGCUUGCUUCCGAUACGGGCAGACUAGAGGUAUUCAGGGGAGAACGGAAUUCCUGGUGUGAGCGGUGAAAUGCGCAGAUAUCAGGAGGAACACCGGUGGCGAAGGCGGUUCUCUGGGAAUGUCCUGACGCUGAGGAGCGGAAAGUGUGGGGAGCGAACAGG